rnacentral:misc_RNA from 1 species
AAAUCAUCAAAAAGCCCUUUUGGUGGGGCUUUUUUGGACUUGGAGGUCUCAUUGCUUGCUUUUUUAAAGUAAGCUCCUCUUAAAUAAAUUAGUGGGGGUCUGCUUUGCUGGUCCUUAAUGUGAUAAGAUGUUUCUACAUUUUGGAUUUAGCACUGUCACUUGGAUGCCUGCUUCUAACUGUCCCUUGGACAAUGAUGGUGCUCCUGGUCUUCGUCAUUUACAUUGGCGGGAGGCUGGACCCACAAAAGGAACC